GCUGGAGUACAACAGCUCAAUCUCGGCUCACUGCAACCUCUGCCUCCCGGGUUCAAGCAAUUCUCCUGCCUCAGCCUCCUGAGUAGCUGGGAUUACAGGUGCCCGCCACCACGCCCAGCUAAUUAAGACUGGUUAACUUAUAAAGGAAAGAAGUUUAAUUGACUCACAGUUCCACAUGGCUGGGGAGGCCUCACAAUCAUGGUGGAAGGCAAGGAGGAGCAAAGUCAUGUCUUAUGUGGCGGCAAGGAAGAGAGAGAAAUGAGAACAAAGCAAAAGGGGUUUCCCCUUAUAAAACCAUCAGAUCUCAUGAGACUUAUUCAAUACCACGAGAACAGCACAGAGGAAACCGCCCCCAUGAUUCAACUAUUUCCUCACUGAGUCCCUCCCGCAAGUGGGAAUUAUGGGAGCUACAAUUCACGAUGAGAUUUGGGUGGGGACACAGCCAAACCAUAUCAACAGAUGAAUGGCUAAGCAAAAUGUGGCCUAUCCAUACAGUGGAAUAUUGCUCUGCCUUAAAAAGGAAGGAAAUUCUGACACAUGCUACGCGUGGAUAGACAUUCAGGAUCUCGUGCUAAGUGCAACGAGCCAGUUAUGAAAGGACAGAUACUGUAGGAUUCCACUUAUAGGAGGCACCUGGAGUGAGAUGCAUAGAGUCAGAGAGUGGAAUGGUGGGUGCCAGGGGCUGGGGGAGGGGCAAAUGGGGGGUUAGUGUGGAGUUCUGGUUGGGAAGAUGAAAAAGUUCUGGAGCUGAAUGGUGGGGAUGGUCACACAACAAUGCACUUAAUGUCACUGGACUGUAUACUUAAGAAUGGCUAAAAUGAUAAAUUUUACGAUAUACAUAUUUCACCACAAUAAAAGUUAAAAAGAAUAAUUUAGAUAAACCCUGGGAAGGUGUUCAUCAAGGUUUCCAAAAUGCCAGGUGGUCCUGGUCUUAGUCAGGUGUCUGGAUGGAGAAUGCUGGUGCCCCAACUCCUCCUCCUGUCUGUGCCCACACGCAGUGCUGGGCCGGACACUUGUCUGUCCUGAGGGGAAUGUGCAGCCUCUGGGCCUCCCUGGAGAGAACAGGUGAAGGAAUGCCUGGGGCUCUCUCUGUGCCCUCCUCGGGAGGAAACGGGACCCAGGCGAUCUUGGACAGAAGCAGGGUCCCGAGCAGGGGAUCACUAGCUGCUUCCGUCCGUCUCUCUUCGGCCCUCCUGUCUGCCAGCUGCACCUCUGCUCUCUUCCAAGGGGCAGCCCCCACCAGGGGCAGUUGUCCAGCUCUUGUGCCUGGGCCGGCACUGGCAAGUUCAUUUCCAUGGGCAUAAGCAGUCUCCAUUCUGGCUUGGCAGCAAUAAACCUGGCACUGGAUGUUGUCCUGGUCCAUACAUAUGUGCCAAUCGGUCCAGACUCCUAGAGCUCAACAAAUGGUCCUGUGAGAGCCUGGCGCUGUGUGAGCCCGGGAAGGCAGUGCAGUGCAGUGGCCAGGUCAUGUCACCCAGGCUAGGGCUUGGCCUUCUGGGGAGCACAGCGAGGGAUGGCCUGCCCUAAGGAAGGCCCUCUCUGAGGUGGGGAUGGUUUUCCAGGGUUCCCUGGGCUCCCAGGUGCUCCCUCCUCCCCUGUACCCCACUCUUCCAUACCCCGGGGCUCAUCCCUUCUCCACUUGGGUCCUUGUUCCACUGAAAAUCUCCCCCUACCCUCCCAUCUCAUGGUUUUCUUCCUCCCCGCUGGCUCUGCCUUCCCUUCAACCAGCACCAAUGCCAAAAUCAGCACCAGGAGCUGCCAUUCAUAUCGUCUCUACCAUAUGCCCAUUUGAAUCCUUAUUGACAAGCUUGUGACCUUUGUCAAAUUAGUGACCUAUCUGAGCCUCAGUUUCCUUUCCUGUAAAAUGGGCACAUUAAUACCUAUUUUACAGAUGGUUGUGAGAUGGGUCGUGCCUGACACCAUUUGGCGCUCAGCCAACUCUUGUUUGUUUCGUCGAUUCUGCUGGGUUGCCUGGCAUUUUGAUUUAUCUUUAAUUCAUACCUUUGAAUCUGCUGUAAACUUGGCAGCCACAUCACCAAGCUCGUUAGAUUGCAGGUUGGGAAGCCUAAUUAGGUUCUAAGGAGGUUAGAAAUCUGUCCUCAGGGACAAGUUCUCAAGCUUUAGAAUGUGGACUCAUGACGUCAUUUUGGUCCCUGGAGGCAUUCUUCUCUAGCUGUAUGUGGGAAGCUCUGUGUUCCAGGCUGUGAGGCUGCCAGGCAACAAAGUUUCCCAAGUCUCAAGGAGCCAUGUUGUGAGUGUUUGACAGCCAGGUCUUGGAAAGGAAGGCCAACAUGCCCUGGGCUGAUCAGACUCCAUCAUGUUGACUCCUGGGAGGCACAUUUUUGAGAAACAAUUAGGAACCAGGAAGCAUUCUGAGGAGGAAAGCCAGGAUAAAGAAGACUCAGAUAAAAAAGUCAUCCCACCAGGUCUGGAUGCAGUGUGACUGUAUCAGUCAGCUUUUGCUGGGUUAUGCCAAGUAACAAACAGGAUUCAGGCUGAAAGAUCAGCUAUGAAACUGCUGGUUUUGAGGCACAGGAAAAAGAGUGAUGGCAGAACUGAGAAAUGACUUUAAAGCCUCUGCUCAGAAGUGGCUUAUAUCCCUCUGUUCACAUUUUAUUGGCCACAGAGAAUCACAUGAUCAAAUAUGUCUUCAGACUUGAUGGGCUUAGGGAGAUACCAUGCUCCCACAGGGAGGGGUGGUAACUAUUUGGCCAGCACAGAGUAGAUACCAACAGUUAUUAAACUGUUUGUUGAAUGAAUGAAUAGAUGAAUUCUCUGAUCCUGGAAGGAUUUAAAUAAAGAAUGGAUGACCAUUUGUAUUACCUA